GACGAACGCUGGCGGUGUGCCUAAUACAUGCAAGUUGAGCGCUGAAGCAUGGUACUUGUACUAACUGGAUGAGCAGCGAACGGGUGAGUAACGCGUGGGGAAUCUGCCUUUGAUCGGGGGACAACAUUUGGAAACGAAUGCUAAUACUGCAUAAAACCUUUAAACACAAGUUUCAAGUUUGAAAGAUGCAAUUGCCUCACUCAAAGAUGAUCCUGCGUUUGAUUAGUUAGUUGGUCAGGGAAAGGCCCACCAAGGCGAUGGUACAUAGCCGACCUGGAGGGGUGGUCGGGCCAAUUGGGACUGAAGAACGGCCCAAAAUUCUAAGGGAGGCAGCAGGAGGGGAACUUUGGACAUGGACGAAAGGCUGACCGCGGAACGCCGGGGGAGUGAAAGAGGUUUUCGGAUCGUUAAACUCUUUUGGUUGAGAAGAACGUUGGGGAGGGUAGAAAGCUCAUGAAGUGACGGUAACUACCCAGUAAGCGACGGCUAACUUCGUG
rnacentral:rRNA from 1 species